rnacentral:rRNA from 1 species
UACGUAGGGUGCAAGCGUUAAUCGGAAUUACUGGGCGUAAAGCGUGCGCAGGCGGCUUUGCAAGACAGAUGUGAAAUCCCCGGGCUCAACCUGGGAACUGCAUUUGUGACUGCAGGGCUGGAGUACGGCAGAGGGGGAUGGAAUUCCGCGUGUAGCAGUGAAAUGCGUAGAUAUUCGGAGGAACACCAGUGGCGAAGGCGACUACCUGGCCUGUUCUUGACGCUGAGGCGCGAAAGCUAGGGGAGCAAACGGG